rnacentral:tRNA from 1 species
CUAGUUAAAGCUUAUAGAGCACUUUAUUUACACUAAUGUAAUUGUUAUUAAAUUAACAUAACUUGA